UCGUUCGUAUACUCCUCUCCACGCGAGUAGCAGCGACGCGACGUGACCAGACGGUGGGAAACAUACGAGUUAAAUAGGUCGUUGUGCGCGCCGAAACACCGGGAACACGUUUACGGUCGAGUAAACGCCGUUCCCCACCUCUCCCCGAACAAAAAACAGAACUACUCGAAAAGUGUGCGACCUUUUCGUUUGUUGUAAUAAAAUAAACAUCAGGCGAGAACAGCGUGCGAAAAGUCUCGUUGUGACAGAUAGACGUUUAGAACAAAAUGUUUAGAAGAAAAUGAUACAACGUGAUACACGCGCGUAAAAAACAAAAGUCUGUGAGUCCUCCAAGAGACGAAAUAAAAACAAAAGAAGACGAGAAAGAAAAGAAAAAUUGACGGGGAGAAGAGAUCAUUUUCGAAAAAAAAAAAAAAAAAUGUUACGUUUUCUCGCUCGACGAGAAAACGGAUUAAUGUGGAGGAAUUAAAAACGGUACCGCCUAGAACUGACUGAUCGAUGUGGACUAGGUCAAGUGCUUAAUUAACAGCGGGAGCAAAUUGGAGCGGUUGUAAGAAAUGGGGAAACAUUACGGAAAAUUUGCUUAACGAGAUUCAAUUUGACAGGUGAACAUUCGAUUUCGUUGUCGUUCGAAAUCGUUCGACGAGAUAUCGCUCUUGGGCGCGAAAAACGAUCGAUCGAAAAACUCGUUCUAAAAUUAUUCGCCAACAGAAGAAGUUUCGUCGUUCGCCAGAGAAAACGCGCGCGCGAGCAGAGAACAAGAAGAAAGAAAGAGAGAGAUAGACACACUUGUUCGCGUCGGAAGGAGGAGAGCGCGAGAGGGGGUGCAGCAGGUGCAGCAGGAGCGCAGCUUCUGUCAUCGAUCUCACCACCAGCGCGGUUGCAGCGAGCAUGGCGCGGCACACGCCGGACCACGUCCUUCGAAAACGAUCCGACGACGCGACGUCGGGGCGCGUGACGAUUGACAACGAACGGACGCGUUGAUUCGACGUUGUGCCGAUCUGAUGAUUCGUUAACCGAAUCUCCUGGGAACACAAUGACGAGGGUGACGAGAAGCGAACCGAUGUCGACUGCACCGGCGUUAAAAUCGCUGGAUCUUUCCGACGGAAUGCGGGAGAACACCGACCGGACACAUCCUCCGAAGAGUCACGCGGUUCUUCCCGUGUAAAAAGCGCCCGUUGAUCUCCUCACAAUCGGAACAAGGAGAGAGAGAGGACAGGACACUGCAGGGUGCACUGCGCGGUCGCGCACGUCGGCCGCGCGCGCAAGAGAGAGAGAACGAGAGAGCGGUGUUUACAUUCACGAGAGGCGCGAGAGACCCGCGAAAUCGAGAUAUCGAUCGGCCGGAGAGACGCGGAUUCAGCGUCAAGAUAUUUGCGCCCUUGUUUGUUUCUCGCGCGCAUCAUCGUCGAAUGCGUCGAAAAAGAGAGAAAGAGAGAGAGAAAGAAAGAGGCGCGAGACGCGGAUCUCCGGAGAGAUCUCCAAUCGUGUCAGCUGGCGACGCGAAACGUGAGAUCUCUCGCACGCCGUCCGCAUGUGCGAGUGUUUAUGUUUGCGCGAUGUGCAUCCGCGUGAGUACACGCGCGCGCGCGGCAUUUUAGAAAACUUAAGAAAAAUUACACGCAUAACACACACAAUUAUGUGUAUGUGUAUGCGCGCGUGAGUUAAUAUCAGAACGAGACUGAUAUUAAAUGAGAAUUGGAUAUAAUAUAGCGCAUCUCUCUUUAUCAUGAGAGGUAUUAAUAGCGAAUUUGGAGAACGUCCAGAGAAAACAAGCGAUUUAAGAGACAGAUUGUUGCGUACGUGUUCACCGAUCGUAGCCGAUCCAAGUUCCGUUUUGCGUGUUGUUUACACGACGUAAUCCGGACCGGAGGUAUAGAUAUUUGGAUCACGCGCGCGAUGUCUGCGCGCAACAACAGAGAUCUAUCUAGGAAGUAGCCUAGAGCGUCAGCUCCUCCUCCUCCUCCUCCGUUUUGUUCGAAGGAUCUAAGAUCGAUACGUGAGGGAAUCGUACAGCGUCGCGCACGAAGAUGGACUGCUGCAAUUACAUCGAAGCUUACGCGCCAGGUGGACACUUCGGCUAUCAGCAGCAACAGCAGCAGCAGCAGCAGCAGUACUUUUGCUACGACAACAGCACCACGCCGUACACCGGCUACGACGCCGCGCCGAACUCCAACGCGAUUGAUAUUAACGCUCGUUAUAACGGGACGAUACCAUCGACGUAUCCGACAGAUUACGUGUACAACCCGAAAGAGGCGAGGCUGCGAAAGGCGAUGCGCGAGCAGACUCGCGAACUGGCGCGUCGAUCGAUCUUGCAAAGCGCGAUCGCGAACACGAGUCCGCGCACGAUCGGCGGCGCAUCCGCUGUUUCCGCAUCGGUAGUCGGGAGCUUCCUCAACCAGCAGCAGCCGCCGCACCGUUUCGAUUGCACGUCCGUGCCGCCGAUGGGUCCGAAUGUGAGCCCUCAUCACGCGACCGACCCCUGGUUUCAGACCGCGCAUCGCCUGAAAUCGGUUCACUCGUCGCCGCGUAUCGGCGACUGGUACGGGAGCAUGUGCAGCGACCAUCCGAUCGAGAGGUUGCGAGCGAUGGGCGCGAUGCAGCAUCACCAACAGCAACAGCAGCAGCAGCAGCAGCAGCAACAGCAACACGAUCUCGAGAAACCCAUCAAGGACCACCCCGCGCUUUAUUCCAACGGUUAUUCGUCCGCCGAGAGGGAAAUCCGUCGUCAGGAAUCCGCGGAAUACAGCGACUUCAUCGACGGAGGCCAGAAGUGGCAUCCUUAUCAAAGUAGCGCGAGCCCCCAUCCGAGAGCACCCCAUAUGUCAUCGCAAAUGGGCGGCAUUCUUCACCCGAGUGUUCAGAAUACAAACGCGCAUGGACACGAUCCGUGGGGCCAAUUUUGUCACGGCAUGUUACCACACGUUCCGACUGUAGCUCGCAACUCGAUGAUGAUUCGGGGCCCGAGGCACGCGGUUUUCUUGCGGGAUCGCACGCCAACCAGACACUGCGCGUUUUCGGAGGAUGCGUCGCAAAUGGGUUACGUUGCGAGCAAACUGAACGUUGACAGUAUUCGCGCGUCUUAUCCGCCCGAGCAUCAGAUGCCGAGAUUGCUGUCGGAAUCAUCUGUGGAUUCCGUCGUAGACACGACGACGACGACGACUACGACGACAACAACGACGACAACGAUGAAUCGUCGCGAUGAAGAUGACGGGACCAGAUGGGAACCGAACCACGUCACCGCUGGGAUGCCUCUGGACGAACUCGUGCCAACUGCCUCGGAAGGUACGAUUUCCCGCGAGAAGGAACGCGAGAACCGGCACUCGAGCGAGCGAUUUGAGCCGAGGAAAAAACCCGUUUCGAAGCAGCCGCUUCCGGGUUUCCAUCAAGCCUUUGGCUCCACGGAGAUCGGUAGAUUCUCCAGGUCGGAGUUCUUCGUCAACAUGGUGGGUGAGAGCGGCGACGGCGGCGGCGAUGCGAACGACGCUUCCGACGGUGGCGAUCGUAACGACGUUACCGGCGACUUGAUCCCGGAAGCCUACCUGACGAAUCCCUUGCUGUUUCCCUUCCCGCUGGAUCCCCACAGCAUUCUGGAAAGCAAUGCCGUUUGCGGAAUCGCGAGAGAUGGACGAUUGAUAUCGCCGCGCGUUUUGCCCAACCAGUGCUGCUGGUUCGCGCAAUUCGGCCGCGCGAUAACCAGGAUUCCCGAUGAUCUUGUGACUUGCGCAGCCUUGUUGGACUGUUCCAAUCACUCGAGCGAUAAAGAAUGGAUCCGACAGAGCGCGACGAUUGCGUGCCCGAUUGAAUUUCUAACGCUGCUUGGUGAUCGAAACGCAAUCUGCGAGGGAACGAUCGGCAAUCGCGCAAAUCCGAUCGUUGUCGUGAAUGAAACGACUCGCGGUCGUGACAUUUCGCGAGAACACGAGAACGAGGUUGUCGAUUUCAAGAUCGAUCGGAAGAGUGACUCGAAUUUGCAAGAGUUCAACGACAAGAAGAACUGAUGAUUGGACAGACACUGUGUGUGGUAAAUUAAUAUCCUCGUCAAUAGUUUGAGAUCACAGCUAGUUUCUUUUCAAGAUGUUUUUUUUUAUUUUCUGCCAGUGUUUACAACUUGAAAGCGACUCGGAAUGGAAGAGAAAGUCUCAAAAACUCACAUUUUUGGAAGCUACAUUAUCUUACGAUAUCUUUUUCUACGAUUAUCUUACGAUUUCUUUUAUGUUUUCGAUAAAAAUGCAACUUAUGACGUUCGACGCGUAUAAACUUCUCGACGCUCUCCGAGAGUCUCCGACGAACAGAACAGUUCGUAAAUAUUGUAAACGCGAACAAAAAUAUCUUCAUCUUAUCUAUUUCCUUCUAAGAGCG